AUGUCGUCUCCCUCCUCCAAAAAUGAGGGUAAAGAUGCUUGGCUAAUGAAGAUAGAGUUGAAGAGAGAAGAAUCCGGGGAGAUCAAUAAGGAGGAUGGGAUCAAGAAGGCCAUGGAGGACCAAGCUCCAGGAACAGAAGAAGAAGACAUCCUUCCACCUCAUCAAAAUCUUCUUACCCCAACUGAGAUUGAAGCUUUCAAGAUGAUUGAGUUAGCUCGUAUACAAAACAAGUAUCUCACACGUGAAAAUAUUUUGUUGAAGGAGCAUAUUGUCGCACUCAAGGGCAUUGUCCGCAAGUUGGAAGAUCUCCUACGCUCGAUGUGCGAUUAUCCAUCAUCACCACCUUCUUCACCAGCAAACGAGAUAUAA
rnacentral:rRNA from 1 species